ACACCGAAAGAAGAAGAGAGAAGGCUGGAGAAAGACUUGGCCAGAAGAGUUGAAGGAAAUUUGUAGAGAAAUCCCAAAGAUUUUACAAAUCUAUUUUAUAAGGGAAGAAUUCCGGAGAAGGAUAUUCAGGCAAGGGUAAAAGUGUGAUGAACCGAAGUGCUAGACUUGGUUGGAUUUGCAAGUAGAAGUUUAAUAGAAGUAUUAUGUAAUCGAAAGAAAUAUUUGUGAACUUUUAGAAGAGUGAUGUAAGACUCUGAUGUAAGGUAAAAUAUGCCUUUAAGUUAUAUCACGUUUAAGAUUAUGAAGAUA